AUACGGAGGGUGCGAGCGUUAAUCGGAAUUACUGGGCGUAAAGCGUGCGUAGGCGGUUUGUUAAGUCAGAAGUGAAAGCCCUGGGCUCAACCUGGGAACGGCUUUUGAGACUGGCAGACUCGAGUUGAGUAGAGGGGAGUGGAAUUUCCGGUGUAGCGGUGAAAUGCGUAGAGAUCGGAAGGAACACCAGUGGCGAAGGCGACUCCCUGGACUCAAACUGACGCUGAGGUACGAAAGCGUGGGUAGCAAACAGGAUUAGAAACCCUAGUAGUCC
rnacentral:rRNA from 1 species